CGGACUCUUCGGAGUUAGUGGCGCACGGGUGAGGAACACGUGGGAACAUACCCUUUGGUAGGGAAUAAUGUCUGGAAACGGACACUAAUACCCUAUAAUGACUUCGGUCCAAAGAUUUAUCGCCAAAGGAUUGGCCCGCGCAUGAUUAGAUAGUUGGUGAGGUAAUGGCUCACCAAGUCUACGAUCAUUAGCUGGUCUGAGAGGAUGAUCAGCCACACUGGAACUGAGACACGGUCCAGACUCCUACGGGAGGCAGCAGUGAGGAAUAUUGGACAAUGGGGGCAACCCUGAUCCAGCCAUGCCGCGUGAGUGAAGAAGGCCUUAGGGUUGUAAAGCUCUUUCAAUAGUGAAGAUAAUGACGGUAGCUAUAGAAGAAGCUCCGGCUAAAUUCGUGCCAGCAGCCGCGGUAAUACGAAUGGAGCAAGCGUUGUUCGGAAUCACUGGGCUUAAAGCGUGCGCAGGCGGACUUGAAAGUCGGGAGUGAAAUCCCAGGGCUCAACCCUGGAACUGCUUCCGAAACUCCAAGUCUAGAAUCCGAUAGAGGUUAGGGGAAUUCCUAGUGUAGAGGUGAAAUUCGCAGAUAUUAGGAGGAACACCAGUGGCGUAGGCGCCUAA
rnacentral:rRNA from 1 species